rnacentral:rRNA from 1 species
AUUGAACGCUGGCGGCAGGCCUAACACAUGCAAGUCGAACGAGUGGCGGACGGGUGAGUAAUGUCUGGGAAACUGCCUGAUGGAGGGGGAUAACUACUGGAAACGGUAGCUAAUACCGCAUACCAUCAGAUGUGCCCAGAUGGGAUUAGCUAGUUGGUGGGGUAAGGGCUCACCAAGGCGACGAUCCCUAGCUGGUCUGAGAGGAUGACCUGCCAGACUGGAACGGAGAAACGGUCCAGACUCCUACGGGAGGCAGCAGUGGGGAAUCUUGCACAAUGGGCGCAAGCCGGAUGCAGCAAUGCCGCGUGGAUGAAGAAGGCCUUCGGGUUGUAAAGCACUUUUAGCGGGGAGGCGUUACCUGCAGAAGAAGCACCGGCUAACUCCGUGCCAGCAGCCGCGGUAAUAC